CAAAAUUUGUCUUAAUUGUGAAGUGUCUGUGAAGUGUCUUAAAACCUGUUCUUUCAGAACCUUGCUCUUAAGUGGACAAUAUCCAAUUUCAUGAAUAUUACAUUUCAAAUUCAAAAAUGGACAUUUCCAAAGAUUAUUUUCAUAUAUGACGUUAUUUCAGCACUUACUUUUAAUUGGGUUGUGUCCAUUUUAUUUACGAAUUUUCCGUUUUUUUGUUCAAUUUAUUUCCACUUUGUCCUUUUGACAAAAAUUAGUUUUGACAAGGAAAUGUCAUUGACUUGUUUACUUACAAAAUUCAGGUGUAGGGGGAUUAGCAGACCACAACAUGAUCAAGAUGUUUUAGAAAACACUAUCAAUAUCUACCCGGAGCACGAACCAAUUAGAGGUUUUCCCGCGUUGUAGUCCAGAUGGUUCUGACAUAUCUUCAAAUUUGAAUUUACAUUACCUUUGAUGGGGCUAAUAUUUUCGUAUUGAUUGGAAGUUUUUUAAAAGUUCCAGAACACGAUAUUAAACGAAUUUUUACGAUACUUUCGUUUUUUUUUGAAAUAAAAGCAAUAUUUGUGAUGAUUAGAGAUGGUCGGUCGGAGAUCAGUUUUCAUGAAUUAACAACUCCUCACCACGCUUCAGAGUCAGAUCGACGACUCCCUGUUCUAGAACAUACACUGAACUUUCUUCACAUUUUUCCCUUCUUUUCCAAAUAAAUGCAUACCAUUUGAGAUGGUUAGAGGUAAAAGGUAGGUCGAUCACCAUUUUCUGCAUCAAAAUAAGAACUUCACACAUCACCGACACAGAUAUAUUGAACAAAAAGCAAAAGAGGGAAAUUCAUCUUAAAAACGCAACGUGCCUAAAAUAUGUUUGCAGGAUUUGAUGUCUCUGAGUAUUGUACGUUUUAUCCACAACACACAAAAACUCAAUAAAUGAAACAAC